CUACAUCACUGGACCAGCCCUUCCCUUUGCAACUUUUGCUUUAUUUGGCUAACUCUCUUGAAUCCUCCAACAGGGAUGACAAAGGAUAGCACAUCAGAUUUCUUAUUACCUAAGCAUUCUUUGUGUAGAUGGAUAAAUAGCUUGAUAAGAGAGACGCUGGACAGAACAGAUCAGUGGUAUGAGAAUUUGCUCAGAACGUCAUCUUCUUUUGCCUGAGUUCAGGAGCAAGCCUGUGACACUUUGUAGCUGUAUCAGAAGGAACACUGGGCUGAGAGUCAAGAAGUUCAGACUCCAGUCCUGGGCCAGUCACUACCAGCUGUGACCUUGAGUGAGUCCUCCUCUCUUCAUUUCAGUUUGCCCACUGAUAAAAUGUUAGAGUUGAACUAGGUGAUCUCUAAGGCCCUUGAUAUCCUAUAAUGUUGGAUCCCAUUCUUAUUCAUCUGAAUCCGAUAUGUCUAACAUAGGCUGUAUCAGUCAGGAUCCAGUCAAGGAGCAGAAGCCACACUAGCUGUUUCAACAGAGGGAGGUUACUACCUGGAACUGGUCACACAGAUGUUGGGGGGCUGAAAUAGUAAGCAGAGAACUCUGAGGUAAUGCAGAGUUGAUAACUGCAGGAAGCAGCUCCCGCUUGUGUGGUAACAAAAGAAAAAUGUUGGGGCUACCAGAACCUAGAAACACGGAGGAGGGGCCCCUCAGUGCUGGCCCAGACUUCAGAGGGAGGCACUGCUUCGCUGACGCUGUUACUAGGAGCUUAGAGCAGGGGCCUUGCACAGCUGGGACUCAGGUUUCUGAGGAGGAGGCCCUAGCGCCUCUGAGGGGGUGUGACGACGCUGUUCUGGAGCUGCCAAAAGGAGGUGGAGGCUGCGAACUGCUGCUGCUGGGGGGUGAAGGAUCACUGAUGGGGUGACAGCACUGGGAAUAGUGACGGACACUGUUCUUCACCCUCCUUCUAGGACCUGUUUUAGCAGAAGCUAACAUGGAGCCACCUGCCAAAGGAGAAAUGCAGUUUUCAGUCCCAGCCUCGAUAUUAAAAGGCUCUUAGGACAUCUAAGUGAACACAACUGUCAAAGACUCCUGUCCACAUGGAGCCUUUCCUGAUGAGUGAGGGGCAGGGCUGCAGCCCUCUUGCCCCAGAUGGCUGUGCUUGGAGCCAAAGGAGAAUGCCUGAAAGCUGCUGUAAGCAAUCUGAGGUCCAUCCUAUGAAUCCGAACAGGCACUGUCCUAGAAGAGGGAGCUGGGUGCAAAACCAAAGGAUUCAAGAACAAAGGAGAGAUGAUGAGUGGGUACCUAAAGAAGGCAAGAUCUGGAGGAGUUCCUGAGGCAAAGAAAAAAGUGACAGCAGUAGCAUUUUGGACAAUUCAAAUGCCCUUAAGGAGAAGGGAUCCUGGUAAAAGAAGGGAGGGGACAAGACUAAUGCAGAUAUACCAAUGGCCCACAGCUUCCUUCCUCUUGACAGAGCGAAGGCAGAGCAAAUUUACAUGACUGAAUGUUACUACAGCCUCUGGCAUGACCAGCAGAUGACAGGAAGCUGCUGCUUUCAAGAAUUUCAACUCUGAAAGAGAGAGAAAGAGGAGGAUUUGAGACCCUGGGAGUCAGGAGUGCUCCCGUGGCUGUGCAACCUGAAUGAAGCUGAGAGGAUCCUGAGCCCCAGAUGAGUCCACAGCCCCAGCCAACACGGUGAUUUCAGCCUUCCAAGACCCUGAGCAGAGAGCUUAGCUCCGCUGCGCCUGGACUUCUGACCUGUGGAAUCUGUGAGACAAUAAAUAGAUGUUUUAAGCCACUAGCAUCUUUUCUUCCUUCAAUUAUUCUACAUCUGAAAAGAGUUGCAGAGCCCCUCCCCUCCCCUUGGACACCCUAUAAGAACUCUGCACAGCACAGUGGUGCUCUGGGCCCUGGAAACCACCAUUCUGCUCUCUGCUUCUAUGAAUUUGGUUCUCUUAGAUUCUACAUGUAAGUAACAUCACAGAGUAUUUGCCUUUCUGUGUCUGGAUUUCAUUUGGUACAAUGUUUUUCAGGUCCGUCCAUGUUGUUGCAAAUAGCAAGAUUUCUUUCUUUUUAAAGGCUGAGUAAUAUUCCACUAUA